rfam:Pseudomonas oryzihabitans strain TSDA-ARS-TSMARC-56511, complete genome.
GUAGCGGACACCGCAAGGUUGUCGCCGCAAGGCGAGCAGGUUUCGCGCUCUGUCAUGGAUGGGGCGCACCCGGCGCAGCCGGUUAAAACAAACUGCCGAUGCAGUCAUCGGC